AUGAUCGGCAGAUGUUUUAGGGAGGAAAUAGGUGCAUAUGGCUGUAGUACUACAGUAAUAGCAUUACCACCAAGUGCUAUCCUGCAAAACGCAAUGUGCACACACGCGCAUGAGCUUGGAUGGAUGUCUUUUUGGGUGUGUCAUUCAUGCCUAUGGUCACUGCUGCGGUCAUCAACACACUUGUCUUCAUCAUUGGAAUGCUUGGUGUCAUUCUUGAUUGUGUACGAACCCGGCUUAUUAACUAGUAACUCAAAAUAUAGGACAGGGAAUACAGUGCUCGUACGUAUCGAUCUUAUCAUGAGCAAUGAGUGUGGUUUUGUGACCUUAUCUUAUGAACAUGCACGUAUCGAUCUUGUCAUGAGCAAUGAGUGUGAUUUUGUGACCUUAUCUUAUGAACAUGGGCAGCAAUCUUAUAAGAAUGUGCAAUUGCAAUAUUACCUUCAAUUUGUGGUUGAUAUCCUAAAUUAUGUUUAG
rnacentral:rRNA from 1 species